GAUGAACGCUGGCGGCGUGCCUAAUACAUGCAAGUCGAGCGAACAGACGAGGAGCUUGCUCCUCUGACGUUAGCGGCGGACGGGUGAGUAACACGUGGAUAACCUACCUAUAAGACUGGGAUAACUUCGGGAAACCGGAGCUAAUACCGGAUAAUAUAUUGAACCGCAUGGUUCAAUAGUGAAAGACGGUUUUGCUGUCACUUCUAGAUGGUUCCGCGCCGCAUUAGCUAGUUGGUAAGGUAACGGCUUACCAAGACGACGAUGCGUAGCCGACCUGGGAGGGGGAUCGGCCACACUGGAACUGAGACACGGUCCAGACUCCUACGGGAGGCAGCAGUAGGGAAUCUUCCGCAGUGGGCGAAAGCCUGACGGAGCAACGCCGCGUGAGUGAUGAAGGUCUUCGGAUCUUAAAACUCUGUUAUUAGGGAAGAACAAAUGUGUAAGUAACUAUGCACGUCUUGACGGUACCUAAUCAGAAAGCCACGGCUAACUACGUG
rnacentral:rRNA from 1 species